rnacentral:rRNA from 1 species
UACGUAGGGGGCAAGCGUUGUUCGGAAUUAUUGGGCGUAAAGAGCUCGUAGGCGGUCUGUUGCGUCUGCUGUGAAAACCCGGGGCUUAACCCCUGGCUUGCAGUGGAUACGGACAGACUAGAGGUAGGUAGGGGAGAAUGGAAUUCCCGGUGUAGCGGUGAAAUGCGCAGAUAUCGGGAGGAACACCGGUGGCGAAGGCGGUUCUCUGGGCCUUACCUGACGCUGAGGAGCGAAAGCGUGGGGAGCGAACAGG